rnacentral:rRNA from 1 species
GACGAACGCUGGCGGCGUGCCUAAUACAUGCAAGUCGAGCGAAUCGAUGGGAGCUUGCUCCCUGAGAUUAGCGGCGGACGGGUGAGUAACACGUGGGCAACCUGCCUAUAAGACUGGGAUAACUUCGGGAAACCGGAGCUAAUACCGGAUACGUUCUUUUCUCGCAUGAGAGAAGAUGGAAAGACGGUUUACGCUGUCACUUAUAGAUGGGCCCGCGGCGCAUUAGCUAGUUGGUGAGGUAAUGGCUCACCAAGGCGACGAUGCGUAGCCGACCUGAGAGGGUGAUCGGCCACACUGGGACUGAGACACGGCCCAGACUCCUACGGGAGGCAGCAGUAGGGAAUCUUCCGCAAUGGACGAAAGUCUGACGGAGCAACGCCGCGUGAACGAAGAAGGCCUUCGGGUCGUAAAGUUCUGUUGUUAGGGAAGAACA